CCUACGGGCGGCAGCAGUGGGGAAUAUUGGACAAUGGGGGGAACCCUGAUCCAGCCAUGCCGCGUGUGUGAAGAAGGCCCUCGGGUUGUAAAGCACUUUCAGUGAGGAAGAACGCCUGGUGGUUAAUACCCAUCAGGAAAGACAUCACUCACAGAAGAAGCACCGGCUAACUCCGUGCCAGCAGCCGCGGUAAUACGGAGGGUGCGAGCGUUAAUCGGAAUUACUGGGCGUAAAGCGCGCGUAGGUGGCUUGAUAAGCCGGUUGUGAAAGCCCCGGGCUCAACCUGGGAACGGCAUCCGGAACUGUCAAGCUAGAGUGCAGGAGAGGAAGGUAGAAUUCCCGGUGUAGCGGUGAAAUGCGUAGAGAUCGGGAGGAAUACCAGUGGCGAAGGCGGCCUUCUGGACUGACACUGACACUGAGGUGCGAAAGCGUUGGUAGCAAACAGGAUUAGAUACCCGAGUAGUC
rnacentral:rRNA from 1 species